CUCUUCGGAGCCUGGAACACAGGUGCUGCAUGGCUGUCGUCAGCUCGUGUCGUGAGAUGUUGGGUUAAGUCCCGCAACGAGCGCAGCCCCCGUCCUUAGUUGCUACCAUUUAGUUGAGCACUCUAAGGAGACUGCCGGUGAUAAGCCGCGAGGAAGGUGGGGAUGACGUCAAGUCCUCAUGGCCCUUACGGGCUGGGCUACACACGUGCUACAAUGGCGGUGACAAUGGGAUGCGAAGACGCAAGUCCUAGCAAAUCUCAAAAAGCCGUCUCAGUUCGGAUUGGGCUCUGCAACUCGAGCCCAUGAAGUUGGAAUCGCUAGUAAUCGUGGAUCAGCACGCCACGGUGAAUACGUUCCCGGGCCUUGUACACACCGCCCGUCACACCAUGGGAGUUGGUUUUACCUGAAGACGGUGCGCUAACCAGCAAUGGAGGCAGCCGGCCACGGUA
rnacentral:rRNA from 1 species